rnacentral:rRNA from 1 species
UACGUAGGGUGCAAGCGUUAAUCGGAAUUACUGGGCGUAAAGCGUGCGCAGGCGGUUGUGCAAGACAGAUGUGAAAUCCCCGGGCUUAACCUGGGAAUUGCAUUUGUGACUGCACGGCUAGAGUGUGUCAGAGGGGGGUAGAAUUCCACGUGUAGCAGUGGAAUGCGUAGAUAUGUGGAGGAAUACCGAUGGCGAAGGCAGCCCCCUGGGAUAACACUGACGCUCAUGCACGAAAGCGUGGGGAGCAAACAGG